rnacentral:rRNA from 1 species
UACGAAGGGGGCUAGCGCUGCUCGGAAUCACUGGGCGUAAAGGGCGCGUAGGCGGCCAUUCAAGUCGGGGGUGAAAGCCUGUGGCUCAACCACAGAAUUGCCUUCGAUACUGUUUGGCUUGAGUUUGGUAGAGGUUGGUGGAACUGCGAGUGUAGAGGUGAAAUUCGUAGAUAUUCGCAAGAACACCAGUGGCGAAGGCGGCCAACUGGACCAAUACUGACGCUGAGGCGCGAAAGCGUGGGGAGCAAACAGG